rnacentral:rRNA from 1 species
CGUCUAGGUGGGAAAAUAAGUUAGGUGUGAAAGCCAUGGGCUCAACCCGUGAAUUGCAUCUAAAACUGUUUUUCUUGAGUUCGGGAGAGGAGUGCGGAAUUCCAGGUGUAGCGGUGAAAUGCGUAGAUAUCUGGAAGAACACCAGUGGCGAAGGCGGCACUCUGGCCUAUAACUGACACUAAAGCGCGAAAGCGUGGGGAGCGAACAGGAUUAGAUACCCGAGUAGUCC